rnacentral:rRNA from 1 species
AUUGAACGCUGGCGGCAUGCCUUACACAUGCAAGUCGAACGUGAAAGCGGGGCAACCCGCAAGUAGAGUGGCGGACGGGUGAGUAAUACAUCGGAACGUGUCCAGUAAUGGGGGAUAACCUAGCGAAAGUUAGGCUAAUACCGCAUACGAUCUGCGGAUGAAAGCGGGGGAUGCGGCACUAAAGGCUUUUGGCGAAGGUGGCCAAAGGUGAGUCAAGAGCUUUUUAGUGCUGCACCUCGCGUUAUUGGAGCGGCUGAUGUCUGAUUAGCUAGGUUGGUGAGGUAAAGGCUUACCAAGGCCGACGAUCAGUAGCUGGUCUGAGAGGACGGCCAGCCA